AGCGAACGCUGGCGGCAGGCCUAACACAUGCAAGUCGAACGAACCUUUCGGGGUUAGUGGCGGACGGGUGAGUAACACGUGGGAACGUGCCUUUAGGUCCGGAAUAACUCAGGGAAACUUGUGCUAAUACCGAAUGUGCCCUCCGGGGGAAAGUUUUAUCGCCUUUAGAGCGGCUCGCGUCUGCUUAGCUAGUUGGUUGAGGUAAUGGCUCACCAAGGCGACGAUCAGUAGCUGGUCAGAGAGGAUGAUCAGCCACAUUGGGACUGAGACACGGCCCAGACUCCUACGGGAGGCAGCAGUGGGGGAUCUUGCGCAAUGGGCGAAAGCCUGACGCAGCCAUGCCGCGUGAAUGAUGAAGGUCUUAGGAUUGUAAAAUUCUUUCACCGGGGACGAUAAUGACGGUACCCGGAGAAGAAGCCCCGGCUAACUUCGUG
rnacentral:rRNA from 1 species